GUCGAGCGAGUCUGCCUUGAAGAUCGGAGUGCUUGCACUCUGUGAAACAAGAUACAGGCUAGCGGCGGACGGGUGAGUAACACGUGGGUAACCUGCCCAAGAGAUCGGGAUAACACCUGGAAACAGAUGCUAAUACCGGAUAACAACAGAUGAUGCCUAUCAACUGUUUAAAAGAUGGUUCUGCUAUCACUCUUGGAUGGACCUGCGGUGCAUUAGCUAGUUGGUAGGGUAACGGCCUACCAAGGCGAUGAUGCAUAGCCGAGUUGAGAGACUGAUCGGCCACAUUGGGACUGAGACACGGCCCAAACUCCUACGGGAGGCAGCAGUAGGGAAUCUUCCACAAUGGACGCAAGUCUGAUGGAGCAACGCCGCGUGAGUGAAGAAGGGUUUCGGCUCGUAAAGCUCUGUUGUUGGUGAAGAAGGACAGGGGUAGUAACUGACCUUUGUUUGACGGUAAUCAAUUAGAAAGUCACGGCUAACUACGUGCCAGCAGCCGCGGUAAUACGUAGGUGGCAAGCGUUGUCCGGAUUUAUUGGGCGUAAAGCGAGUGCAGGCGGCUCGAUAAGUCUGAUGUGAAAGCCUUCGGCUCAACCGGAGAAUUGCAUCAGAAACUGUCGAGCUUGAGUACAGAAGAGGAGAGUGGAACUCCAUGUGUAGCGGUGAAAUGCGUAGAUAUAUGGAAGAACACCGGUGGCGAAGGCGGCUCUCUGGUCUGUUACUGACGCUGAGGCUCGAAAGCAUGGGUAGCGAACAGGAUUAGAUACCCUGGUAGUCCAUGCCGUANACGAUGAGUGCUAAGUGUUGGGAGGUUUCCGCCUCUCAGUGCUGCAGCUAACGCA
rnacentral:rRNA from 1 species